UACGGAGGGUGCAAGCGUUAAUCGGAAUUACUGGGCGUAAAGCGCACGCAGGCGGUCUGUCAAGUCGGAUAUGAAAUCCCCGGGCUCAACCUGGGAACUGCAUUCGAAACUGGCAGGCUAGAGUCUUGUAGAGGGGGGUAGAAUUCCAGGUGUAGCGGUGAAAUGCGUAGAGAUCUGGAGGAAUACCGGUGGCGAAGGCGGCCCCCUGGACAAAGACUGACGCUCAGGUGCGAAAGCGUGGGGAGCAAACAGG
rnacentral:rRNA from 1 species